UACAUUAACAGACAUUCACAACCAGCUUUCAUUAAAAGAAAACUGCAUAUUCGCAGAAGAUUUUGUUAAUGAAAUUCCAAAUGAUGAUAAUGAUGAUGAUGAUGAUGAUGAGGAUGAAGAGGAUUAUGUUAAUACUGAACAAGUUGAUAAAUGCGAUGAAAAAAAAGAUUCCCUUUCUUUAACAUGCUAUGACAAAGAUCGCGAAGUUUUGUGUUUACCAUGUAAACAUUGCAAAAUUUGUCGCGAUUGCUUCAAAAAAAUAGAAGAAUCAUCGCAAAAUAAAGGAAUAAAAGUGUUGUGUCCAUUUUGCCGUUCCAUUGCUAAGGAUAGUAUGAUAAUUUAUAAUUAAAGGUUAACGUUUAUUAGGGUUUCAUUGCCUUUAAAUAAUUUUUUUCCAAAUGAAAUCGCAAAGUUGAGGAAUAAACAUUGUGUAAACGCAGAGAUUAUAAGUUUCCUUUCAUAUAAUUUACAAUAAAUAAUGGAUAUAGUUUUUUUUUAUUUUUAUUAAUUUUUUAAAUUGUUGGCCUUUAACUGGCGGGGUGAUAUAACGUAAAAGGUGAUAAAGCAAAAUUUGCUUCACGUUAGCAGUUUUGUGGGGACGGCACAGCACGAGGCAGGAAAGCGGGGCAUGGCCCGGUUGUGAAAAUUUGUAUCUGGGAAAAACAAACAAACUUAUUCGCGAGCGGAGGGCGAUGGUAGGGGUUGUGGGGGCGCGCGCGAGGACGGCACAGCGCAGAGACGGCCGCCAAACUAUAUAUACUCACAUUUUUCCCUAAAAUAUUGAAAGCGAAAUAAUGUCACAUUUUGUUUUCAGAAAAAAUGGUACAAAUAAUUGCAAAUGGUAAUAACGUCACUGCGGCUUUAUUUCCAUUUAAAUUGGAAAUAAUGUCCAGUGCCUUUAUUUCCAUUCCAAUUGGAAAUAAAGUCACAGUGACGUUAUUUCCAGUGACGUUAUUGCACCCCACCGUUCAAAACAGCAUUAGAACGAAUGCCAUCGGAUACGCACAAAUCUGUCAUAAGAGCGGAUUGUACCCCAACAGGUGAACAUGUGCGAAGAUUCAAUGCACCAACCGUUAAUGAUGUUCUUGCAAUUAUUGUUGGCGAUCCAACUAAAUCGCGAGACAUUGUCGUUCAGCGAAGAAGCAAUAUCAUGCAUCGUGUAAACGUGACACAUCGUUUGUACGAUGCGUUACAAUAUCCAAUCAUUUAUUGGACGGAUGCGACAUCACGUUGAAGAUGGUCGAUCCAAUUACAGGCGUAUCAACGAAUAAAAAUCUAAGCGCAAUGAAUUACUAUGCAUAUCGUAUGAUGAUUCGUACAAAUGAAGAGAAUGUCAUUCUGAAGUGCUGUCGGCUUUUCCAGCAAUUCGCUGUCAACAUGUAUGUCAAAGUCGAGACCGAACAUUUAGCGUUCAUCCGAUUCAAUCAGGCAAAGCUACGAUCAGAGGACUAAAUACACUUGCGUGAUGCUAUUCAUUCAGAUGGUGAUGUUCAGAAUAUUGGACUUGUGACGAUUCUCCCAUCAUCUUAUGUAUAUCGGAAGCCCACGCCAAAUGCACGAACACGCUCAAGACGCGAGGACGUACGUGCGAAAUUAUGGAACUCCGGAUUUAUUUAUUACGUUAACAUGCAAUCCGAAGUGGACGGAAAUUGAACGUGAGUUGGAACCGGGACAAAAACCGCAAGAUUGCCAUGACAUAAUCGCCAGAGAAUUUCCGCAAAAUCUAAACGUUGUGGUGGAUGUGCUGAAAUGUAAUUGUAAUGUAACGAUGCAAUUUGGUGGCGAAACGGAGUUCGCCGGGUUUUCUAGUUGAAUAUACAAUUAUACAGAAGCAUUUUGCCAAAAGCAAUUAUUUCAUAACUUGUGAUUUGAAAAAAAAUAGUAAGACUAAUAAUUAAUCUUAAUCUGAAUUAAAUGAAAUUUAAAAACA